GGGAGGAGCCGGGUUGAGUUGAUUACAGAUAGGAAACAGGUGUGCAGUGGCAGAAAACACCAGGAAACCUCGAGCACGGGACUGGAAAAGCACAAUCUGAAAGAUGCAUGAAGAGUGUGUGUGUGGCCUACAUGAACCUGGUCUCUCCUCAUCUCCGGUGCCAGAUAAUUUCAUCUCAUUUGUGCUUUGAACGCUCGACGCAGAGGUAUUUGAAGCGCUGCUCAUGGGGGUCGACCGUGCCUGGGGCAGGUGGGGUGCUCCUUCAGCUGGUUCGAUGAAUCCAUCUUUCCUAAGGACGAAGGGGUUCAGGAGCGUCAUUAUCGAACUGAAGAAAAAGGGAUGAAUGAAGAACAGGUGACAGAGUUCGAAUGUGAAUCAGGACAAGCAUGUGAUUGGUCAAGCUUGUGCAUGCAGAUGUUUAGUGAGCAGAGUUGAUUGGAGAUGAGAUUUUUGUUUUGUUGGACAUCUUUGCUGUACAUGGCAUUAACCCUUUGUUGAGAAUGUACUGUUAGCAUAGCAGGUACUGUAAGUGGGUGUUAGCAGUCAUAUUAGCUGUUACUUUUAAGUAAUUACAGAUGAGUGGAUUGAAUUACAUUUGCAUUAUUGUACUGCAUUACAUAUUCUAUUGUAUAUUUUAUUUUAUUUAUUUUUACACAUGAUAGCUGACAUAAUACCUGCCGUGGGAUGACACACAACAACAAGAAAGUAGCCAAUUAAUGUGUAAAUCAUCAAAGUUCAGUUCACCAUAUUUUUGACUGAUGAGUGUGUGGUGUUAGUUUAAUUUAAAUUUAAAUUUUUAUUUAGUUUUAUUUUUUUUAUUUUUAGUUUAAUUUCUGUGUUGAAGUGCACGGCCACCUAGAGGAAGAGUUGCUGUCGAGAGAUGUUGCAGUUUCCAAAUGCUUGUGAUAAUUUGGACCUGAAAUCAGUCUGUUAUGUCUUUUGGUUUGUUUUAUAUUAAACACGUUUAAAUUUCAUACG